rnacentral:snRNA from 1 species
GGUUGUGAGGGCAUUCUGACUGUGACGGCUGUCACCCCAUUAGACUUCUACAGUUGAUUUGGCUGAUCUGGCUGGUUAGGCAGUUGUCCCCUUCCUUCCUCCCUCACUGCUCUGUGUGCAUCCCUCCUGAAGCUGCACGUUCAGUCAAAGAACAGUACCUUCCCCAAUAAAAGAGGACUGGUCUUUGGUCAAGGGUGUGCAAGUAGCUGUGCUCCCCUGCUCGAACGUCCAAACAAACUGUCAGGCAUACCAGAUUAAAUAAUGGAUUAGGAAACUCUUAGUAUGAAAAAACUUUGAGAUUUAUAUUGAAAUAAAAGAAUUUUUCCUUU